UACGAAGGGGGCUAGCGUUGCUCGGAAUCACUGGGCGUAAAGCGCACGUAGGCGGAUUCUUAAGUUAGGGGUGAAAUCCUGGAGCUCAACUCCAGAACUGCCUUUGAUACUGGGAGUCUUCGAGUCCGGGAGAGGUGAGUGGAACUGCGAGUGUAGAGGUGAAAUUCGUAGAUAUUCGCAAGAACACCAGUGGCGAAGGCGGCUCACUGGCCCGGUACUGACGCUGAGGUGCGAAAGCGUGGGGAGCAAACAGG
rnacentral:rRNA from 1 species